UUUUAAAAACUGGAAGAAAAGAUCCUGGCGGUCCGGGGUGUGAGAGGCAGUGAGCGGUUCCCUGGCCACGGGGCUGGGUGGCCUGGGAGACCCGUCGGGGCCACCCGAGCCCGUGUUCCUUACCUGUAACUGCAGGGCCAGGAAACGCGGGGCUGCUGGGGAGGCGGCUGUCCACGCUUCCUGCCCUCCCCGGCCCUCCCCGGCGGGUUUGGGGAGGAUCACGUGAGUUAACAUGAAAGAGCUCUGAAAACCACAGGAAGGUCUCGGGGAGCGGGGCCGGGCGUCUCCAGGCCUGUUUUCUUGAGCAGGCAGAAAACGCCCCAGUCGGGGAGCAGGCGGCCCAGUGGGCGCUCCCACGGGGGCGCUGAGCCACUCCUCGGGGGCCUGAGGCCCUCCUCCCUCUGCACAAACCUGGGGCAGGUAGAAUCAUGGACGGUGGCAAACGAAGCUGCGGGUCUCACUUGAGCCCAGACCAGCCCAGCCCUCGGCUCUCCUCCCCCUCCCCUCCCAGAACUGAUCCCCAGAAACGGGGAGACGGGGUGGGGGGUGAGCUGGUGGAACAGCACCUCUUGAUGUUUACCCACAGAAGGGGGCACCUACCACCUCCCUGGGUGGCCACACCCUCCCGGUCCCAGCAGUUCCUGUCCCCGAGCACCCAGGGUCUCAGGGCUCCACCACCAGACCUCCUGCCUCAUCCAGGCGACAGGCCGGGAUAGCAGGAAGGAUCCAAUCUGGCACAGGUUGAGUGACGGGCAAAUUCCUUCCUUCCUUCCUCCCUCCCUCCCCCUCCCCCAAGAUGCCAGGGGAGCCCUCUACCCCGAGCCACACCCCAGUCCUGGGCCAGUGUCUUUACCUCUGGGGAAGAGUUUUCUCAUCUGCAGAGCUGGGAGGGGGACACAAGCACCGACUGGCACCUGGCGGGCCCCGGGCGUGGGCGCUCGGCAGCAGGAGGAAGGAGCGGCUGUCAGCCUUGGGCACAGACGCCACCGCCCAAGGACUGGGAAGUGAGGAAAGGAAAGAGCCAAGCUGCUCCCUGCCCACGAGGCGCUGUGUCUGCUUUAAGGCAACCACCACCGCGUGUCCAAAGGUCCUCCAGGCACGGUCUUUAAAAGGUGCCUUGGAGGGGCUGGGGCUCAGCAGCGGAGAGCUCCCUGGGUUCCAUCCUCAGCACCACGUACAAACAAACAAUCAAAGGUAUCGUGUCCACCUACAACUAAAGAAAUUUUUUUUUUUUAACAAAGUGCAUUAGAGGCGUAGAAUGCCACGAGUAUUUCUCACAAUCGGCAAGUCAGCAACACAAGCAGACGGCUUCACCCGGGGGCAUCUGACCUCGGCCACGGAGUCCCUUCACACGGACCCCUGGGUGCCGCACUGGCCAGGGCUAGGACCCGGGUGCCUCCUGGUGCACACAGCCCUGCCUGCUCAGGCCUCAGGGUCAGGAGGACACACAAAGGGACCCAAGAGGCAAAGGCCUGGAGGUGGGCCCCAGGGGAGCUGUGUCAAGAGGACGGCAGAUGAGGCAGAGGGAUACGCCAGGAGGCCGCAGACACGGAUGCUCCUAAGGUGUCACCAAGUGUCAUCUGGGCUGUUUCCAGCCAGGAACGGAAUGACCCCAGGGGCUGGGGUGCAGGGAUUCACUCACCCGUCCCCUGUUCAGCUCAGAAAAAGACUUUCACGUGGACAGGCCAGGCCUGGCUAGAGCAAGCUGCUGACCACACAGGGGCUGCUGGGGCAGGUGGACGCCAGGUCCAAGGUCUCCGGGGCCCCGUGCAGCCCAGAGCUCCGGUGGCGGGUGCUGGGCUCACUCUCCACCUCCUGGCCGAGUCCUCGCCUCCUGACAGAGGGUCUCCAGGUCCCUGGGCCCUGAAGGUGGCAGAUGACCUGGCCACUGUGGUCCAGGAGGCCUGCUCAGCCUGCUCCGCGCUCUGUAACCUGCCCUGCCACCCAGGAGCUCCAGAAUUCCACCCCUGUGUCUACGGAAAGGGGACAGUUUGGUCCUCUUUCCCAGCAGGUUUGGAGGUGGCUGUGGUCCUCAGUCACAGGGUGAAAAACAUGACUGACCGGGCAUCCUCGGACUGCAGCCCUGGGGGUCCGCAGGCACCUGGAACCUUCCGGGCCCAGAAGCACCAGGGAAUUCCUCCGGAUCCUUGCAGAUCCUCUCUCCCCUUCCCGCCCUGCAGGCAGGAAGCUAAUUGUGACCAAGACGCCACUCCUCCUGGCUGGUCAGGGUGUCCCCAAGCCCUUCAGGGGCUCCAGGGGAGAGUGGCUGGCUGGCCUCUCCUGCAUCUGGUGGCCACAGCCUUCCUCCUCCUCCUCCUGCUUCACAACCCCAGCCGGCUUUUGCCACUUUGAAGGGCCCUUGUGGUCACACGAGGCUCAUGCGGAUUAUCCAGGAAAAGAAAUCUCCCCAUUUGAAGACGGUUGAUUAGCAACCUCGACUGCAGCUCAACCUGAAUGGCCCCUGCCAUGUCCCCUCACGCGCUCCCAGAUUCUGGGGACUGGACUCUCCGGAGCCACGCCAACCCCACCAAGCCUGGUCCUGGACUUGCUCUCUGUAAGGGGGGACGGAGGCACCCGCCAUGCUAUCCUGUGGGGCAAGGGACAGCGUGUGCUGGACGCUGGAGCAGCGCUCGGCAGGUGAGGGGAUCUGUGACCAUCUGUCCCUUCUUCACCAAGUGACCUCAUCCAGAGGGACUUUCAAAUCUCUCAGCGCUUCCUGGCCACCAGGCUGGAGCCUGUCUGCAGGUGCCACCCAGGGCCACCCAAGUCCCUGACCCCUGAACGGUCACAUCCCCCACACCGAGCUCUGAGUAGAUGCUGUGAGCUUGUCACCUGUGCCCGGACACAGAGAUGCCAGGAUGAAGCCACCUUAGUGUGCACAUAGCUCAAGCCAGGGGCCCCCAGUGUCACCUCUGACCCAGGGCAGGGCCUAGUCCCUGUGACUCUCCUAGUGGGACAUCUGGCUUCAGAAGGGUGAUGAAUAGGCCAGGGCCACAGGCCAUGAGGAGGCUCACCUACCCGUGGUCCCACCCCAGGACCAGGAGCAAUCAGGAGCGGUCAACACCCCUCGCCCCGUCCCUGAUGGACCGGGAGGCCUCCCACCUGAUUGAGGGUCCCCCAGGAGGACAGAGCCUCCCAUGUGGCCUCCACAAGAUGACCCCCUCUGGGUGAGCCACAGGAGGUCCUGGGCAGGGGGAGGGUAGGAGGAGAGGGGCAGCAGGCCUGGCUCCCUGUGGGCUCGGGAGGUGGCUGGGCCUCUCUGGGGCUCUUCUCCGGGUGACAUGAACACUCUGUGUCUGAGGCUUGUCCAGGGGCCUCCGUCCUGCAGGUCCACCUGCUCCAGAGCUAGGCUUCUGGACCACUCACUCCUGGGAAGGAGCACUGGGGACGUUCCCCAGGCCUUCCCUCUGGUGUCACCGCUAGGGUGGCUCUGCAGCCAGACGGGAGGAGGCCAGGGGGGUCCCUCCAGGAGGGACAGGGACCAGGGACGGAAGAAAGCCUCUGGCGAGGAUCUGGGGGAAGGGCAGCUGCAGACAAAGGGGACAGGAAGCAGGCGCCCCUCCCACUCCCCCUGGGGGAUGGAGGGGGUCUGUCUACAGCCCCCUCCCCAGCUGGCUGCAGCCCAGACGCCUCCAGGAGGACCCAGCCCCCCUUCGUCUGGGGGAGGGGGGAAGUGAGGGUCUUGGCUUUGCCAAGUCCCAGUAAUGAAUCCCACAUUCACUGCGCCUGGCUGCCUGGAGAGCGGCCCUCCACCUUCUGGCUGUGCGCUGAACAGCUGGCCUGCAGAAGAGGCUGGGACGGCGCACGCACGCGGAGGUGCCUGUGCAGAGCCCGCUGUCCCCCACCCACCCCUUCCUCUGGAGAUAAGGCCUCUCUGUUCUGGCUGUUUCCCUGGGAAAGCAGGCAGGAAGCGGAUCCACCAUCAACCCUUCCUGCACACCAGCAUCCCAGCCCUCCCACGUGGGCUCCCAGUGGCUCUGCAGGUUGCAGGCCCUUGCCUGGGUGCUGCCUGGGUGCUGCCUGGGUGCAGAGCCAGGUGGAGAUUUUGCAGGUGGGAGAAGGGAAGCCCCAAGAGGCCCAGGUCUGUCAGGCCCUGCACAGGCCCCGCCCAAGCCGAGUUCCCGUGUCCACCUAAAACACACAAGAGCCCCACAACAGGGGUCACUAGCUGACCGCCCUCACCCAGCACAAGCCCUCCAAGGGAGAGGUGGAGACCACAGCAGAGACAGCCAUAAAGCCACCUCUAGGCCAGGUACCACACUAUGUCGGUGACCCCAGAGUCCAGGAGGCUCAGUCGAGAGGAUCACAGGUUGGGGCUGGCCUCAGAGAUUCAGUGAGGACCGAUGUCAAAAGAUUAGAAAGGGCUGGGGAUGUGGCUCCGUGGUAAAGCGCCCGGGUUCAAUCCCCAGGACCAAAAAAAUAAAGAUCACCAACCAUGGUGUUCAUGUGUCCAAAGACCUCCAGGCCCUGGGGCCCCGCCUGGGGUGACAACGGCCUUUCAGGAAGGACCAGGUGGGGGUCAGCUGCUCCCAUGAGCCCCUGCAGCCUCACCCAAGGACAUGCCAUCUGCUUCCAAUCAGGGCUGGGCCAGGUGGGCCUCGGUGGCCCUGCUUCCCCCUGCCUGGGCAAGGACCCCACAGGUAAGAGGAGGGGAGGAGGCGGAGCGACCGCGAGGGCAGAGGCUGCUUCCUGGGCCCGGGAGGCCCACUCCAGCUUGUCACCGACCUGCUGUGUGACCUUGGCCUAAUCACUGCACCUGCAUCUUCUACCCUAAGAGGGAACAAACAUGAGGGUCAAGGACAAUGGCCCAUAUUCAAAUUUCUGUCACACCCAGGAGACUCAUGACUUUGGCAGCGUCCUUCAGGGCUCUCAGGGACUGCUGGGUUUGAGGCGUGAUGGAUGGAGAGGCCACGCGCUGCCUGCACACCUGGAGAGAAUAGGGGGCUGUCUGCAUC